GACGAACGCUGGCGGCGUGCUUAACACAUGCAAGUCGAACGAAGUGGCGAACGGGUGAGUAACGCGUAAUCAACCUGCCCUUCAGAGGGGAACAACAGUUGGAAACGACUGCUAAUACCGCCUACUGAAGGUGGGGAUUGCGUUUGAUUAGAUAGUUGGAGGGGUAACGGCCCACCAAGGCGAUUAUCAGUAGCCGGUCUGAGAGGAUGAACGGCCACAUCGGGACGGGGACACGGCCCAGACUCCCACGGGAAGGAGCAGUGGGGGAUCUUCCGCAAUGGAAGGAAGUCUGCCGGAACAAAGCCGCGUGAGUGGUGACGGCCUUCGGGUUGUAAAGCUCUGUUAAUCGGGACGCGGUACCGGAAUAGAAAGCCACGGCUAACUACGUGCCAGCAGCCGCGGUAAUUC
rnacentral:rRNA from 1 species